UAAAAAUAUCUUUCGAUCUAUUGGCACAAUAUAAAUAUAUAAAUCGAAUGUUCGAAAUUCGAAAUUGUAUACGCGAUUAUAAUGUUAUGUGAUAGAAAAUCAUGACCACAUGCAGGGAGUGCAAAAAGAUGGAUCAGUAGUUGGGCAAUCAAAUAACGGAGUCGGAGCAGGAAGGACGAAUGAGAACACCGAUAAGGAGGUCGUUACGUUCAUGGCGAUCCUUCUUGGGAG